AAGUCCUUUAAGUUUAGUCCCGUGAGGCUAAGAAGGGUGUGAGUAAGAAGAAAUAUGGUGCGCCAUAUGGACGAUUACUCAAUGACGUCGCAUAGUCAGCGAUCCGUAUAUAAGUAUACGCUCAGUCUAAACAUUCCUCCUGUCCUCUUAGGGCAGGAGUUUUUUUGU
rfam:Enterococcus sp. 10A9_DIV0425 scaffold00001, whole genome shotgun sequence.